CGCCAAUUGGCAAUUUAACAAAAUUCUUACCGAGAGGAAGAAUCAACUCAACACACAAUUUCUCAAGGAAACUACAAAAUGGCUGACACAGAAAGGCACAUGCCGUGGCUCAGUGCAUUAUGGGUCGUUGGAUCCUAUACAAUUUACGUACAUGUAUUAAUGUUUAAAUGUUAAAAAAUCUUAAAUUUUGUAUUAUACAAAAUGAUGUGUAAUUUUACAUACGUAUGUCAUAAAUGUAAUAGAAUUUGAUAAAGAGGGGAAAAAAAAUAACUAAAAGGAAAAUAUUCCAAGAUGUAUAUACUUGUAUGUACAAACGGACAUAUUAUCGACUACGGGAAUAGUACAUAUCUAGCUCACGAGAUAUCGUGACAAACCAUGUUUAAGAAUGUUACGCGUAUUUGAUUUUUUAUCAAUUUUUUAUUUAUUACUUCGAUAUAAUAGUAGAGAUUUUAUCAUCGAUCUGUAUUAAAAUUAAUGAUCAUCAUUUAAAGGCGAAUACAAAUAAAUAAUAAUAGCCUUUUCUUUCUUUUUGGUUCUUGUUUUCUUUCUUCUUUUUUUUUUUUCUUUUUCUUUUUUUUUUUUUUUUGUUGCAUGAAUUUAUUUCUUUCCAACUUAUGAUGUAAUUAGUCACUGUGUUAUAUAGCUAUUCAUGUAAUAUCAAGUACUGUAUUAUAUGUAAAAAAAAAAAAAAACUAAAAAGUAUUAUUUGUGCUUUUAAUAAUCUUGUUAGAGAAAAAUGGAAAGCUCUGCUUCUAAUGAUAAUAGAAAUGGAACACGAAGAAGUAAUCGCUUAAAAAUAUCAUCGAUGAUCAUCAAAAAUUCAACGAAAUAUACACAUAUCAUUCGUGUAGAGCCACUAAACUGAAAUUUUUUAAUCUUUCCAAAAUCGUCAUUGGAAUAGCACUACAAGCUAAAUCAUAACUUUCUUUUAUUCUAUUUCCAUAUUUAACAUUAUUAGAAGCCUGUAAAAAAGGAAAAGUACUAAGCUUAUGAAUUAUAAACAACAAAAUUUUAUAUUUAUUUUACAAAGUUAUUCAUAUAUUAUAUACAUUAGAAUUUUUUAUGUAAAUACCUUUUCAAGAAAUACAUUAUUUUUAUUGUUGAUAAGAGGUUUAAUACUUUUACAUUUAACCCAUGAAUGUUUUAGUUCUUUUUUAUCAAAAAAUAUCACAUGAUAUUUCACCUAUAAUUAUGUAUAAAUUAAUGUAAUAUAUUCAAUUUGAGCAUGUAUAUAGAUAUGCAUGUCUAUGCAUAUUUAUAAA